rnacentral:lncRNA from 1 species
GGGGCGGGGAGUCAAGGUAAAACAUGCAUCAGCAACACAAGAACUUUUAAAAGGGGAUGUACUGCACAUACUGGAGUCUGUGCCCGUCUGCUUUGCAGGGGAGACGCUGGUGCAGACUCUGCAGAAGUUGCAAGCCAGGCACCUUGGAGGCACAGAAUAAGUUUAUGCACGCACUCUGAGUUUGGAAAGAAGGACGCUGCCCGCCCGCGCCCAUGUGCAAACUAGGCGGCGCUGGAAGGCGGGAGCCUCAGAAUCACUUGGGAAAGUGUCCAGAGCCCAGCACAAUUUAUUAUUCCCAUGAUUUGAGGUCUAAUUCUUGGGCGAUAUUUUAAAUCUGAUACGCCUAAAAGCGAGAUUCUGGGCACAAAGGAUUCUGAUUAUUCUACAUGAUCAAAGGUUGGAACUAAACUUUCUCUAAUGUUUCUUCUAGUCCCAAGAUUCUGAAUUUUAAAGUCCCUUCCCGGUACUAACCUCUGUGUUCUAUAAGGUCCUUCUUAGCUCUAAGUCUCUAUAAUUUAAGGUCCCUUCCCCACUAACAUUCUACCUUCCCAGGUCACAAUUUAUGCUCCAAGUUCUAUCCCAGGCAUAACAUUCUACAUUCUGAAGUCCUUGAGGAAAUGCGUUCUAAGAUCCUUCCCAGAACCAACAGUCUAUGUCCUAAGAUACUGCCCAGUUGUAACAUUCUAUGUUCUAGCAUCCCUCCCACAUGCUCUAACAAUCUUUGUCCUAGGAACCUUCCCAGCGCUAACAUUCUCUGUCCUAAGGUCUCUCCCAGCUCUACCACUUAGUAAAUUUGUAAAUUCUAGCAUCCCUCCCAGCUCUGACACUCUAUGUCCUAGCAUCCCUCCCAGCUCUGACACCAUCCCUCCCAGCUCUGACACUCUAUGUCCUAGCAUCCCUCCCAGCUCUGACACUGUUCUAGCAUCCCUCCCAGCUCUGACACCAUCCCUCCCAGCUCUGACACUCUAUGUCCUAGCAUCCCUCCCAGCUCUGACACUCUGUUCUAGCAUCCCUCCCAGCUCUGACACUCUGUUCUAGCAUCCCUCCCAGCUCUGACACUCUAUGUCCUAGCAUCCCUCCCAGCUCUGACACUUUGUUCUAGCAUCCCUCCCAGCUCUGACACUCUAUGUCCUAGCAUCCCUCCCAGCUCUGACACUGUUCUAGCAUCCCUCCCAGCUCUGACAUUCUGUUCUAGCAUCCCUCCCAGCUCUGACACUCUAUGUCCCAGCAUCCCUCCCAGCUCUGACACUAUGUCCUAGCAUCCCUCCCAGCUCUGACACUGUUCUAGCAUCCCUCCCAGCUCUGACACUCUGUUCUAGCAUCCCUCCCAGCUCUGACACUCUAUGUCCCAAUAUCCCUCCCAGCUCUGACACUGUCCUAGCAUCCCUCCCAGCUCUGACACUGUUCUAGCAUCCCUCCCAGCUCUGACACUCUGUUAUAGCAUCCCUCCCAGCUCUGACAUUCUGUUCUAGCAUCCCUCCCAGCUCUGACAUUCUGUUCUAGCAUCCCUCCCAGCUCUGACACUGGGUCCUAGGAUCCCUCCCAGCUGACACUCUAUUCUAGCAUCCCUCCCAGCUCUGACACUAGGUCCUAGGAUCCCUACCAGCUCUAAUAAUCUUUGUCCUAGCAUCCCUCCCAGCUCUAACAUUUAAUGUUCUCAUGUUCCUCCUAGCCCUAACAUUGUGUUUGACUACCUCUUCCAGCACCAAUAUUCUACAGGUUGCUACUCCUUCUAAUAUUCUUUUCUCUAACAUCUCUUCUGCCCCUAAGUUUAUAUUUGAAGGUUCAUUUCAUCUUGAACAUUAUUUGUUCAAAGGAUGUUUCCAGCUCAAACAUUCUAUGAUUUUGUGACCAAACGCCCUCACUCUUUGAAGGAUACCCAAUUUGCG